rnacentral:rRNA from 1 species
AUGAACAUCCCCGGCAAACUGCUUGUCACCUCUGUCUCCAAACACCUUGACGUGGCUACCCUUCAAGGCUGGGCAUACCUCCCAGAUUGCCUGCUGCACUCAAUUGUUGCUAUGUUGCACUCCUCCCUUGACCUUGUCGCCUUUGCUGCCACCUGCCGCUCUUGGCGUGUUGCCUUCUUCGCAUACCCGUCCAAAUCUGCAUUCCGCACCUUAUGCCCCCCUCUCCUCGUCCGACAAAAUCUCGGCAUCCAAACUCCUAUCAGUGGUCCUCACAAUCGACAUACAUUAAAAUUCAUUGAUCCAUCCAACCCAAAGAUCAACCGUCAUUGCCGGAUUCGGGAAGAAAUUUUGCUAGAGUUCCGGUAUGCUGGUUCUUCCUAUGGUCACCUCAUCUUCUUCCACAACAAAGAUUGUCUUGUUGUUGAUGCGUUUAGUGGUGCGGAAGUUUCACCUCCACGUCUCCCUAGUGUGACUGAGUUGUACUAUUGUAGCACUCUGACUGGUCCACUUGCAUCACCCAAUUCACACCUCCUUGUUAGUACUGAAUCCUCUCUAUUUGAUUGGCUAGUUGGAAGUGACUCUUGGUCUGAACUCAAAUUUUCCAAUGUACCAAUAAAGCAGAUCGUGGAAUUGGAUGGUCAAUUUAUCGCCAUGGAUGAUCAUAUGAAGAUCUACACUUUGCAGUUGGCACCAAAGCUUGUCCUGCAGGAGCUACCGGCCGAGUGGUGCCACGGCAAGACCCCACGCCAGUGUUUAAAACCAUGGCUAGUGGUUUGCCAUGAUAUGCUUCUGAUGGGUUGUUAUGAUCUCAGGUUUCCAUUCCAGAGAUCAGCCUUCUGUACACUCCACCUCCUGGACAUGUCAAUCAAUCCCGCAAAAUGGAUGGAGAUGAAGAAGCUGAACAAUUGGGCACUCUUCGUUGCUGCUGACACAAGAGAUCCACCCUUUUCUUGCAUUAACCCAGAACGAUGGGGAGGGAGAAGCAAUUGCUUGUAUUACACUCAAGGCUCUCAGCCUUGGGGUGUACGCUGGUUGUGUAAUGAGCCUGAUCUUGCGAAGGAUCCAUCUACCGGUCGUGACCUUAUGUUCACAAGAAAUAUGUUGCGGCAACUGCAGAGCCUCUGGGUCUACCCCAGCAUGUUCUAUUCUAAUGGCCAGUGA